UACGGAGGGAGCUAGCGUUGUUCGGAAUUACUGGGCGUAAAGCGCACGUAGGCGGCUUUUUUAAGUCAGGGGUGAAAUCCCGGGGCUCAACCCCGGAACUGCCCUUGAAACUGGAGAGCUAGAAUCUUGGAGAGGCGAGUGGAAUUCCGAGUGUAGAGGUGAAAUUCGUAGAUAUUCGGAAGAACACCAGUGGCGAAGGCGACUCGCUGGACAAGUAUUGACGCUGAGGUGCGAAAGCGUGGGGAGCGAACAGG
rnacentral:rRNA from 1 species